rnacentral:tRNA from 1 species
UAAAAAGUAAGCUAAUUAAAGCUUUUGGGUUCAUACCUCAAAUAUAGACAUUGUCUCUUUUUAA